rnacentral:rRNA from 1 species
GACGAACGCUGGCGGCGUGCUUAACACAUGCAAGUCGAACGGAAAGGCCCUGCUUUUGUGGGGUGCUCGAGUGGCGAACGGGUGAGUAACACGUGAGUAACCUGCCCUUGACUUUGGGAUAACUUCAGGAAACUGGGGCUAAUACCGGAUAGGAGCUCCUGCUGCAUGGUGGGGGUUGGAAAGUUUCGGCGGUUGUGGAUGGACUCGCGGCUUAUCAGCUUGUUGGUGGGGUAGUGGCUUACCAAGGCUUUGACGGGUAGCCGGCCUGAGAGGGUGACCGGCCACAUGGGGACUGAGAUACGGCCCAGACGCCUACGGGAGGCAGCAGUGGGGAAUAUUGCACAAUGGGCGGAAGCCUGAGGCAGCAACGCCGCGUGCGGGAUGACGGCCUUCGGGUUGUAAACCGCUUUCGCCGGUGACGAAGCGUGAGUGACGGUAAUGGGUAAAGAAGCACCGGCUAACUACGUG